CCAGAAGAGGGGAAUCAGAUGUUAUGGUGGUUGGUGGGGCUGAAGCUUCAAUUAUUAGUGUUGGAGGCUUUAUUGCUUGCAGGGCUUUGUCUCAGAGGAAUGAAGACCUCAAGAAGGCUUCAAGACCAUGGUUUUGUCCUGGAUGAAGGCUCUGGUGCGCUGAACAGGUAAUGGAGAGCUUGGAGAGUGCAACAAAAAGGAGAGCCAAAAUAAUUGCAAAAUAUCUGGAGGGUGCCAUAACGUGUGAUGCUGGUCACAUGACAAAUCCAAGGUCUGAUGGACUGCAGUUGGGGUUUCUCCUGUAGAGGUGACCUAUAUCAAUGCUCAUGCCACUUCAACACUAGCAGUCAAUGAUUGGUCAUGGUCUUGAGGCUUCUGGUGGUUUGUAAGCUAGGAAAUAACAACUGGGUGGUUGCAUCAAACUAUUAAUCAAGAUAACUUGACGGAUGAUGUUACAAUUGACACAGUCUCUAACGUCAAGAAGCAACCUGAAGUUAAUGUUGCUUUCUCAAAUUCAUUUGGGUUUGGUGGACCAAAUUCAGCUAUCUCCAACUAUAUCCAUGGAAAACCCCUUUCUUUUAUAUAUCUAAUUAAUGUUACUUUUAUCUUUUGACUUUCUUUUUAUAAAUUUUUGUUUUUUGGCUCUGUUUUUAUGCUUCUUGGGCUGCCAAUUUUCUCAAUUCAGAAGUCUUCCUCAAGGGCUGCCAAUUUUCUUGAUUGCUUUAAUGAUGUGCAGUUAUGGAUAAAGGAAAUUUAUUCAUUCUCUUAUAUCUGAAAUAAUUCAUUUGAAUGCAAAGUUAUGAAUGAAAGAGAUGUUGUUCUCCCAUUUCUCAUCUCCCCAAUUUGUUAAUUUAGUUUAACUUGACAUUUUUUUAUUGACUCUCUCUUCUUCUCUUUGGUUGCAGUUCUUGCUCAAGAAUGAUUAAUGGUGUCUAUUAUCAAAUUCCAAAAGUUAUAAGUGGUGGAUGGCUAUGUGGAUUAUGUCAUGGCGUUUGGAGGAUCCAAGGAUCUCUGGUUGUUUCUAGAGGAAUUGGAGAUAGGCACAUGAAACAAUGGGUGAUAGCAGAACAUGAGAUCAGAGUUCUUCUUCUUCUUAGAAUUGAGGCUCGACAUGACUUUUUAAUCUUAGAUUCGGAUGAAUUAUGGGGAAAGGUGCAGGACUUGAGCAAUUCAUUGUACUAACAUCAAUCGGUAGUUUCCUUUUGAAAGUUAAGAACAUGCUUUAUGCAACGAGGUUUUCAUACAAUAUUUUUAGUGGUGGCAGCAAAAAAUAAAAUAUUGCUUUUUGGAAGGGCCCCGCACACUAUUCAUACGAGACAAUUUUUUAUCAAUCAGCAAAAAAUAAAAUAGUUUUUUUUUUAUGUAUGAUGAUUGAUAAAAAAAUAGUUUAAUUUUGAUGUUCCGACGACGGUGUAAAGUUUAGAUUUCAAAGAUUUGUCAUGUUAGUCAAUUUAAUUAAAUUAAAAAUCUAUAUUUCUCAUAUUUAAGAAAUUUAAUUGGUUGACAGUGUGAAAAAAAUCACACCGUUAGUGCAUCAAACUUUUUCUCAAAAAAUAUCAUGUUAUUUGUGUUACUAAUUAUAAAUAGUUUAGUUAUGUUUGGUUCUACAUUAAAAUAUCUCUUCACUUAUCAUUUUAUCAUUUGUGCAUUUCCAAUUGUAACAUUAUUGUUGUGUUAUAAUUAUAUUUCCAAUUGGAUCAUUUGUGCAUUUCCUCCAUCAGUUCCUCAUGUUAAUCGUUUUUCUCUUCCACGGCACCAAGCUUCAGCGCCUCUCAUCCUCUCACGGUACUUUUUCAUCAUCUCAGUGAUUCUAUUGGUAUCCAACAACCACAAGUGCAGGUUUAAUUCUAUUUGUAUCCAAUAAGCCAAAUCUUGUAACAGUGUUACGAUUCACAAAUGUC